rnacentral:rRNA from 1 species
AUCGACAAUCCACGUUANUUUUUACUUUAAUUUAAAACUUAUAUACCGCCAUCUUAAGAAACAAUUUUAAAUCUUUCUCCCAAUAAUUAAUAAAAAGUUAGGUCAAGGUGUAAUCUAUAUUAAAGAUUAGAUGAAUUACAUUAAAUAAUAUUUACAAUUAUUUAUAUAUUUAUAAAUAUAAAUAAGAAUUUAAAAGUAAUAUAUUAAUAAUAAUAAUACAUGAUAAAGAUAAUAAAUGUGCACACAUCGCCC